rnacentral:rRNA from 1 species
AUACGGAGGUUGCAAGCGUUGUUCGGAAUCACUGGGCGUAAAGGGCGCGCAGGCGGUUUGGUAAGUCAGAUGUGAAAGCCCAUGGCUCAACCAUGGAAGUGCAUUUGAAACUGUCAGACUUGAGUACUAGAGGGGAAAGUGGAAUUCCCGGUGUAGAGGUGAAAUUCGUAGAUAUCGGGAGGAAUACCGGUGGCGAAGGCGACUUUCUGGCUAGAUACUGACGCUGAGGCGCGAAAGCGUGGGGAGCAAACAGGAUUAGAUACCCUAGUAGUCC